ACGAACGCUGGCGGCGUGCCUAAUACAUGCCAGUUGAGCGCUGAAGGUUGGUACUUGUACCAACUGGAUGAGCAGCGAACGGGUGAGUAACGCGUGGGGAAUCUGCCUUUGAGCGGGGGACAACAUUUGGAAACGAAUGCUAAUACCGCAUAAAAACUUUAAACACAAGUUUUAAGUUUGAAAGAUGCAAUUGCAUCACUCAAAGAUGAUCCCGCGUUGUAUUAGCUAGUUGGUGAGGUAAAGGCUCACCAAGGCGAUGAUACAUAGCCGACCUGAGAGGGUGAUCGGCCACAUUGGGACUGAGACACGGCCCAAACUCCUACGGGGGGCAGCAGUAGGGAAUCUUCGGCAAUGGACGAAAGUCUGACCGAGCAACGCCGCGUGAGUGAAGAAGGUUUUCGGAUCGUAAAACUCUGUUGGUAGAGAAGAACGUUGGAGAGAGUGGAAAGCUCAUCAAGUGACGGUAACUACCCAGAAAGGGACGGCUAACUACGUG
rnacentral:rRNA from 1 species